rnacentral:rRNA from 1 species
GGAAGUACGAAAGGGCGUACGGUGGAUGCCUAGGCUCUUACAGGCGAUGAAGGACGUGAUAAGCUGCGAAAAGCCGCGGGUAGAUGCAAAUAAUCUUUGAUCCGCGGAUAUCCGAAUGGGACAACCCAGUGGAGCAAACCUCCACUAUCCCGCUAUUGCGGGAGGCGAACGCUGGGAACUGAAACAUCUUAGUACCAGUAGGAAGAGAAAAUAAAAAUGAUUCCCCUAGUAGUGGCGAGCGAACGGGGAAGAGCCCAAACCAUCGGGAUUCCGGUCCUGGUGGGGUUGUAGGACUGCGUCGUUGCAAGAAGUAUGGUGAGAAGAAGCAACUGGAAAGUUGCGCCGUAGCGGGUGAUAGCCCCUUAUUCGAAGCCAUAGGAAGCAUAGCAGAAUCCUGAGUAGCGCGGGACACGAGAAAUCCUGUGUGAAUCCGGCGGGCCCAUCCGCCAAGGCUAAAUACUCGUAAGAGACCGAUAGCGAACCAGUACCGUGAGGGAAAGGUGAAAAGCACCUCGUGUAGAGGAGUGAAAAAGUUCCUGAAACCGUACGCCUACAAGCGGUCGGAGCUCCUUUAUGGAGUGACGGCGUGCCUUUUGCAUAAUGAACCUACGAGUUGCCGGUAUCAGCAAGGUUAAGGGUUUUGAAGUCCCGCAGCCGAAGCGAAAGCGAGUCUUAACAGGGCGCUGAGUUGUUACAGGCAGACGCGAAACCAAGUGAUCUACCCUUGUCCAGGAUGAAGUCCGGGUAACACCGGAUGGAGGUCCGCACCAAUAAGCGUUGAAAAGCUUCUGGAUGAGGUGAGGGUAGGAGUGAAAGGCCAAUCAAACUUGGAGAUAGCUCGUACUCCCCGAAAUGCAUUUAGGUGCAGCCUCGGGCGUUCCCUGUGUGAGGUAGAGCGACUGAUUGGAUGCGAGGGCUUCACCGCCUAUCAAGUCCAGACAAACUCCGAAUGCACACAGGCUAAGCCCGGGAGUGAGGGCGUGGGUGCUAAGGUCCACGCCCGAGAGGAGAAGAAUCCUGAUCACCGGCUAAGGCCCCGAAAUCCGGGCUAAGUUAAACUAACGAAGUGUGGUCCCCGUGACAGCUAGGAUGUUGGCUUGGAAGCAGCCAUUCAUUCAAAGAGUGCGUAACAGCUCACUAGUCGAGGGUCCGGGCAUGGAUAAUAAUCGGGUAUAAGUCAGAUACCGAAGGCGCGGGAUAGUAAUGUAUAUUAAAAGUAUCGGUAGGGGAGCAUUCCAUCGGCGUUGAAUGGUGAGGGUAACCGAUCCUGGAGCUUAUGGAAAAGCAAAUGUAGGUAUAAGUAACGAUAAAAAGGGUGAGAUUCCCUUUCGCCGAAAGACCGAGGUUUCCCGGGCGAUGCCAAUCAGCCCGGGGUUAGUCGGGUCCUAAGUCUCAGCCGAACGGCGAAGGCGAUGGCAGAUGCGGUUAAUAUUCCGCAACUCGCAUAUACAGUGAUGUGGAGACGGAGCAGUGACACUGCCGCGCCCUGACGGAAUAGGGCGUUUAAGUGCGUAGGCUAUGAGGAAGGCAGGCAAAUCCACCUUCCGAGCUGAACCAUGAAAGUACAGGUAAUCCUUCGGGAUAACUUGAGUGCAGGUAAUCAUACUUCCGAGAAAAUCCGCUAAACUUAAUGUAUAUGCGACCCGUACCGCAAACGGACACACGUGGUCGGGUAGAAUAUACUAAGGCGUUGAGAGAUUCAUGGUUAAGGAACUAGGCAAAUUGACCCCGUAACUUCGGGAUAAGGGGUCCUCAUAGCAAUAUGAGGCGCAGAGAAUAGGUCCAGGCAACUGUUUAACAAAAACACAGGGCUGUGCAAAAUCGAAAGAUGAAGUAUACAGUCUGACACCUGCCCGGUGCCGGAAGGUUAAGAGGAGAGCUCAGAGGCAACUCGAAGGUUUGAAUUGAAGCCCCGGUAAACGGCGGCCGUAACUAUAACGGUCCUAAGGUAGCGAAAUUCCUUGUCGGGU